GGGAUUGUAGUUAAAAAUAACAUCUGGUUUGCAAUCAGAAAGUGCUAGAAAAGCCCAUCUCA
rnacentral:tRNA from 1 species